rnacentral:rRNA from 1 species
UACGAAGGGGGCUAGCGUUGCUCGGAAUUACUGGGCGUAAAGGGAGCGUAGGCGGACAGUUUAGUCAGAGGUGAAAGCCCAGGGCUCAACCUUGGAAUUGCCUUUGAUACUGAUUGUCUUGAGUUUGGGAGAGGUGAGUGGAACUCCGAGUGUAGAGGUGAAAUUCGUAGAUAUUCGGAAGAACACCAGUGGCGAAGGCGACUCACUGGCCCAAUACUGACGCUGAGGCUCGAAAGCGUGGGGAGCAAACAGG